CAGAACGCAACGGGAAGGAGAAUAAAACAAAGGGCAAGGCAGCGCUAGAGCGGAGCGUGCACCGGCGGGGAGGAAUGUCACAGGGAUGAGGGAACAGCGAGGGCGCACGGUACCUGGAGAGGGACGCUUCCAUGGAGAGUAGCAAAAACCCGCAGGGCUGCAGGAGGAAAUCCCUCACGGCUGACCAUGAGUGGAUCUGCUCAGCAGGUCCGGGCAAUAAACCCAUCCUUUGCAGCGAGAUGCAAAACCUGCCCUGUCUGGAGAAAGAAAAGUGGUGGUCGGACAAUGGGACUCAUUCCGAGAACAGCCUUAUAAACACCUGGGCUAGAGAACAUGGUACUGAGUGGGUAUACCACAUUCCUUACCAUGCACCAACUGCUGGGAAAGUUGAGUGGUGCAACGGACUGCUUAAAACCACCUUGAAGGCACUGAGCAGGGGUGUCGCAUGUCCUGGCUAGAUGAGCUCCGCUGAAUCCCAGCUACCAGUGCAAGCGCAGCACGAAAACAAAAGAGCAGCACCACGGGUCCUGGGGUGGAACUGGGGUAACUUUAUUCAAUGGCAAAACUCCCCCUCCCCAGCAUCCCAGAAUGCCAAACUGAGGGCAGACAAUAGCUUAUAAACGGGGGGAGGUCUCAGGGGAGGAUACAAUCUUUAACUAAUCAGGAAAACUGGGAGUAAAAAACAAGGCGGGGAAUACAAUGUAUAAACCA